rnacentral:rRNA from 1 species
AGAUUGAACGCUGGCGGCAGGCCUAACACGUGCAAGUCGAGCGGUAGAGAGGUGCUUGCAUCUCUUGAGAGCGGCGGACGGGUGAGUAAUGCCUAGGAAUCUGCCUAGUGGGUGGGGGAUAACGUUCGGAAACGGACGCUAAUACCGCAUACGUCCUACGGGAGAAAGCGGGGGACCUUCGGGCCUCGCGCCAUUAGAUGAGCCUAGGUCGGAUUAGCUAGUUGGUGAGGUAAUGGCUCACCAAGGCGACGAUCCGUAACUGGUCUGAGAGGAUGAUCAGUCACACGUGGAACUGACGACACGGUCCAGACCUCCGUACGGGAGCAGCAGGUGGGAAUAGUUGGAC